rnacentral:rRNA from 1 species
AUUGAACGCUGGCGGCAUGCUUUACACAUGCAAGUCGAACGGCAGCACGGGUGCUUGCACCUGGUGGCGAGUGGCGAACGGGUGAGUAAUGCAUCGGAACGUGCCCAUGAGUGGGGGAUAGCCCGGCGAAAGCCGGAUUAAUACCGCAUACGCCCUUAGGGGGAAAGCGGGGGAUCUUCGGACCUCGCGCUAUUGGAGCGGCCGAUGUCGGAUUAGCUAGUAGGUGAGGUAAAGGCUCACCUAGGCGACGAUCCGUAGCUGGUCUGAGAGGAUGAUCAGCCACACUGGGACUGAGACACGGCCCAGACUCCUACGGGAGGCAGCAGUGGGGAAUUUUGGACAAUGGGCGCAAGCCUGAUCCAGCCAUGCCGCGUGAGUGAAGAAGGCCUUCGGUU